GUCCCCGUUGGCGAGGGACGCCAGCCUUUCGAGCUGGAGGUCGGGGGUUCAAUUCCCCUCGGGAGCA
rnacentral:tRNA from 1 species